rnacentral:pre_miRNA from 1 species
ACAACAUUCGGACUAUCGGUCUACCGAGCAAUUUCACCAGCCGGGCGGAAGAUCUUUCCUGUCGU